GGAUGUGAAGGCCACCUGGCUGUGGCAUCGAUCACCUCAUUGACUGUAAGGUUUGAUUCAGCUGGUUGGCUGCGUUGUGUUCCCUUCCUUCCCUGCACCCAUGUGCAUCCCUUCCCCCCGGAGCUGUGACAUCGGUCAAAGCAAACAACCAUUCCAAUGGAGGAGGUCUGUUCUUGUUCACGGGUAUGUGAGCAUGUGUGCUUCCCUGUCAGAGCACUAAUAAAAUUAACCCAUUAGGGCCAAACAAGCUCUCAGGAAGUAGUGAGGCAACGUGAUAAGCUGUGGGAUACGGUAAGAGGCUAUCUGCUCCUCCAC
rnacentral:snRNA from 1 species